GACGGAGGGUGCUAGCGUUGUUCGGAAUGACUGGGCGUAAAGGGCGCGUAGGCGGCGCGGUAAGUCGGGUGUGAAGUCUCGGGGCUUAACUCCGAAACUGCAUUCGAUACUACCGUGCUUGAGGGCUGGAGAGGAGACUGGAAUUUACGGUGUAGCGGUGAAAUGCGUAGAUAUCGUAAGGAAGACCAGUGGCGAAGGCGGGUCUCUGGACAGUUCCUGACGCUGAGGCACGAAGGUCAGGGGAGCAAACGGG
rnacentral:rRNA from 1 species